rnacentral:rRNA from 1 species
UACGUAGGGGGCAAGCGUUGUCCGGAUUUAUUGGGCGUAAAGAGCGUGUAGGCGGCUUUACAGGUCCGUUGUGAAAACUCGAGGCUCAACCUCGAGACGCCGGUGGAAACCGUAAGGCUAGAGUCCGGAAGAGGAGAGUGGAAUUCCUGGUGUAGCGGUGAAAUGCGCAGAUAUCGGGAGGAACACCAAUGGCGAAGGCAGCUCGCUGGGACGUGACUGACGCUGAGACGCGAAAGCGUGGGGGAGCAAACAGGG